UUAAAGGAUAGAACUGUUAAUGAAAAGAUAAAGGUAAGAACUAUCCCUGACAUAAUUCUUGUUCUCCUCUUUUGACAGUUACCCAAUACUCAUGCUCCACAGAGAAGGGGACUGCAAAUGAAAACACAAAGGCUCAAAAAAGAAGAGGGAGGAACGAGAACUGUCCCAGCCCUGUGACAAGGAUUCAAUCAGUACCAAAUGAGAAGUAUGUGGUAGUACUAGUGGAUAUGGAUAAGCGUAGUGGAGGAGAAGCUCUCUUCUUAUAUCAUUAUGAAAUGAAAAUAUUGAAAUGAUGAAUUACUUU
rnacentral:lncRNA from 1 species